GAUGAACGCUGGCGGCGUGCCUAAUACAUGCAAGUCGAGCGGACGGACGAGAAGCUUGCUUCUCUGAUUUUAGCGGCGGACGGGUGAGUAACACGUGGAUAACCUACCUAUAAGACUGGGAUAACUUCGGGAAACCGGCGCUAAUACCGCAUAAUAUUUUGAACCGCAUGAUUCAAAAGUUAUAGACGGUCUUGCUGUCACUUAUAGAUGGAUCCGCGCUGCAUUAGCUAGUUGGUAAGGUAACGGAUUACCAAGGCAACGAUGCAUAGCCGACCUGAGAGGGUGGUCGGCCAAACUGGAACUGAGCCACGGUCCAGACUCCUACGGGAGGCAGCAGUAGGGAAUCUUACGCAAUGGGCGAAAGCCUGAUGGAGCAAAGCCGCGUGAGUGAUGAAGGUCUUCGGAUCGUAAAACUAUGUUAUUAGGGAAGAACAUAUGUGUAAGUAACUGUGAACAUCUUGACGGUACCUAAUCAGAAAGCCACGGCUAACUACGUG
rnacentral:rRNA from 1 species